GUGAUUUAUUAUAUUGGUUUUGGUUGCAUUAAUCGAUGGUUGUACAUCGCACGCAUAAUAACUCAAUACACCUCAUUAGAUAAAUAUAUACAAGUUUUAGAUUUUUAGGACAGUAUAACAUUUAUGGCAUCAC
rnacentral:sRNA from 25 species